CUCUGAACACUUCCUUUUUUUCAUUUUAUUUAGCAAGUGCACAAAUUAAUAUUUACAACCCUAAAAUUAUUCUCUCUUCCUCGCCGCUUUCCCCACGAUCUCCAUGACUACAAUUGCAAAUUAGUUUGCAAAGAAGAUGAAACUGAUGAAGAAGAGAACAAGAACAGAGUGAUACUGAACAAGAGAACAUAGUGAAUUGCAGCACGUGAUGAUGAAACACGAGAACCAGAGUGAUUCUGGUUUUUAAAUCAAAGGCGGUACAUAUAUUUUGAGAAGUUCGGCAGAUCGAAUACCGUGGGCUUCAAUGUCAGGGUUUUGUGGAAAAUAUUUUCAGCAAAGAACAUUUCGACAGAGCAAAUCGUGAAUACUAAAUUGUUAGAUCAUUAUUAAUCCAAGUAAUAAGUUAGACUUAAAAAGCUUUGAAAGUUAUAAGUGAAAACAAUAGCACAAUAAAAGAGUAUGCACAAGAUCUCCAUCUUUAAGCUUCUCAAACAUUUUAUGAGGCCACUAAAUCCGGUUAUUAGGAUGAAAUCACCAUGUUUCCGAUCACAAUGACACAAUUCGUGAUUAUAAUUAAAUACAAGAGAUGAAACUGAGAGUGAGAUUUGUUUACACGUGUAUUUA